rnacentral:antisense_RNA from 1 species
GUUUCUGGCGGGCUGUGGGGGGAGCUUUAUGCUCGCCGGUUCCUGUAUCCGGUCUGUCAACCUGCACAGUUCCGCCUCCCUA